AACUGUGCACAGUGGCAGUAUCAUAGCCAAUGAGUUUUCUCUGAGGCAUGAUUAUUGCUAAUUAAAAACUUUUCCUGCCGGGCUCGGUGGCUCAGCCUGUAAUCCCACGCCUUUGGG
rnacentral:snRNA from 1 species